rnacentral:rRNA from 1 species
UACGUAGGGACCAAGCGUUGUUCGGAUUUACUGGGCGUAAAGGGCGCGUAGGCGGCGUGUUAAGUCACUUGUGAAAUCUCUAAGCUUAACUUAGAACGGUCAAGUGAUACUGAUGUGCUAGAGUGCAGAAGGGGCAACCGGAAUUCUUGGUGUAGCGGUGAAAUGCGUAGAUAUCGUAAGGAACGCCAGUGGCGAAAGCGAAUCUCUGGGCAGCAACUGACGCUGAGGCACGAAGGCCAGGGGAGCAAACGGG